UACGGAGGGUGCAAGCGUUAUCCGGAAUCACUGGGCGUAAAGGGCGCGUAGGUGGUCUGUUAAGUCUGGCGUUAAAGCCUGGGGCUCAACCCCAGAUCAGCGUUGGAUACUGGCAGGCUAGACGGUUGGAGAGGCGAGUGGAAUUACCAGUGUAGCGGUGGAAUGCGUAGAUACUGGUAGGAACACCCAUUGCGAAGGCAGCUCGCUGGACAACACGUGACACUGAGGCGCGAAAGUGUGGGGAGCAAACCGGAUUAGAUACCCGUGUA
rnacentral:rRNA from 1 species